UACGUAGGGUGCAAGCGUUAUCCGGAAUUAUUGGGCGUAAAGAGCUCGUAGGCGGUUUGUCGCGUCUGCCGUGAAAGUCCGGGGCUCAACUCCGGAUCUGCGGUGGGUACGGGCAGACUAGAGUGCAGUAGGGGAGACUGGAAUUCCUGGUGUAGCGGUGAAAUGCGCAGAUAUCAGGAGGAACACCGGUGGCGAAGGCAGCUUACUAUGGUAUGAUUGACGCUGAGGCACGAAAAGCGUGGGGAUCAAACAGG
rnacentral:rRNA from 1 species